AGUUAAAACGCUGUGUUUAAUCUAGACGGAAAAAUUAUUUCAUUUUCCGGCAAAGACCUAGCAAAAAUUAUUUCACUCUCCCUCCCAAAUUCUCGAAAUUCACAACCAAAAUUUUCUUAAUUCUUUCAUAUUCUUCUUCUCUCAAUACAAUAUUUUCUUAAUCUUUUUUUCUCAACCAUUUUCAUAUUCUUCUUCUUUCAUUUUCUCAACCUAAUUUAAAAACAACGGAGGAGAAAUCAAGGCCAAGAAUCUUGGCCGUAGCCGGCUCCAAUUUCGAGCACUCCCCUCUCUCACAGCUACGGUAGCUCACUUCUUCGAUUCUCCACUUUGAAAUCUCUCCUCUCUUGUAUAUCUCCUCCGAUUCAACAUCUCCAGCUGCUCAUAUAUAGUCUCUUCAGUUCUCUCUGGCUAUCGAUCUCCUCAAACAAAAGACGAAGCUUGUUUGAAUCUAUGUCUUUGUAGAUAGUUUAUUGUGUUCCUACGCGAGUGUUUCAUUUGGCAGGCAUUGAUUACACUGAAGAUCUUGUGACCUAUAAUGCUGCUGACCACAAGGUUGAACAAGCAUUGGUUACACUGAAGAAGGGCUUUCAGCUUUUGAUAUAUGGUCGCAAAGGAAAGGCAAAGUAAAAUCCUUUUAGACUGUCUAGUCGUUUUCUGUUGUAUCUGAGAAAAGUAUUCUCGUUGGUGUUGGUUUUCAAGGAUGAUAAGCCUUUGAUCUGGAUAUCUAGUAGCAGUGAAAAGCGUAAGUUAGCUUAUGUAUCUAAAGUUGUACCUGGAAAAAACAAUGCCUUGCAAAUCUCUUAGUUACAGGAAAUGCGCGGGGCAAAUGACAAUCAAGCAAGAUACCUCGUUUGCGGACUCCCAGCAAACGGAAUCAAACCACAGCUCCAUCAACAGCCACAACAAGAAGCAGAUGAUGAUCAAGGAAGUGAUGUGGAGGAGAUCACACGAGUAGAGUUCAGACUCUCCAUGGGAUACUUCAUACGUGUUGAGGAAGCAGAAGAAGACAUCGAUCCUAUGUUCCGGAGAGUUGUCCAAAAACUCAAAGACAAUGCACGCCCAAAACGAGAACAAGGAGAGUCCUCACGAGGCAAGUCUCAUCGCCGAGACUAAGCCAUCAUACCAACACUUUCAUGUGAGAUAGAGAUCAAAAUAAAUUGAGAUGUUUGCUUGUAGUUGUUUCAUCUCACUUUAUUUUUCACUGGUGAUUACAUUUAUGAUUUUCCUUUGACGUUGAAUGAAAACUCCGAGAACAGGGGAACUGGAAUG